GCAUCAAUGGGGUAGUGGUAACCUGGGUCGUUGCCAGGUAGAAAGUACUUCAGGGUAAUCUCGACCCGCCGGGGGUUCGAUUCCCUCUUAAUGCA